GGAUGGAUCAUUAAGAGGUUAGCAAACAUCCCUGUUUGACAAACCACUGUGGUACGAUGCAUGUUGUUUUGGCGGCGUGGUGUGCGUGCAAGCGCGCAUGCGCCGCCAGCAUACAAACCCAAUCAAUCAAUUUAUACUACUCAGCUGUUCUGAUUACACUAUUUCGAUAGCAUAAUCCUAUACAACUGCUAGCAACGGAUCACUCGGCUCUCGCGUCGAUGAAGAACGUAGCAAAGUGCGAAAAUUAAUGCAACACGCAACACGUGAGUCAUCGAGUCUUUGAACGCAUAUUGCACCCGACAGGCUCGCUUGUCGGGUCUGCCUGUUUGAGUAUCAGUUUAACCCCAACAGCCGGCGGUGCUUGUGUAAAAGCAGGCGCCGGCAGCUUGUUGGUGCUCGCGGCGCGCAUUCGUGUGUGCGGCGGAUCUGGGACUUCGGGGUUUCGCGCCCUGUGUCCUGAAAUGCAUUGGCCGACCGGCGCAUCAACCCAACGUGUUGUGCUCGGACCGAACCGAUUAGCAAUGUUAAUCAUCUGCAAAGGUGUCUUUGUUAACGCGGCGCGGUUAUUCCAAACGAGUGCAGCCUGAUGUCCACGCGUGCCACCCUGCACGCUGGCUGCCCUGUGGCGGCGAGCGUACACUUUCAAACCUUGAUCUCAAAUCAGGCAGGAUGACCCGCUGAAUUUAAGCAUAUCAGUAAGCGGAGGAAAAGAAACUAACCAGGAUUCCCUUAGUAACGGCGAGUGAAGCGGGAACAGCCCAAUCUGAAAAGCUGGCCGGCCCCGGCGCCGGACCCGCGUUGUAGGUUGAUGAAGCGUUGCCUAGCAGCAGACCUUUCGGCCAAAGUCUCUUGGAACAGAGCGUCAUAGAGGGUGAAAACCCCGUGUGUGGUCGGACGACAUCACAGUCUGUUGCGCCGAUGGUGCGUUUUCUUAGAGUCGGAAUGUUUGGGAUUGCAUUCCAAAGUGGGUGGUAAACUCCAUCUAAGGCUAAAUACUGGCGAGAGACCGAUAGCGAACAAGUACCGUGAGGGAAAGUUGAAAAGCACUCUGGAGAGAGAGUCAAACAGUACGUGAAAUUGCUAGCAGGGAAACGUUGGGCACCAGUACGCGGCGAUCAAUGUCGAUGAUCAGCCGGCCGGUGCGGCGGCGAUUGCGCGGUGCAUCCGCUUCGGGGACGGCCCUAGGGUCGCCCACGCGCAGUCGCUAGCUGUUCGGGCCGGUGCACUCUUCGACAGCCGGGUCAACAUCGGUUGCCGGCGUCCGACAAGCAGUUGGGCAAGGUAGCAGCCGGACAGUCCUUGCGGCUGUCCAGCUGAACUUAUAGGCCUGGCAUGCGAGGACGGCGGCGACCGAGGAGGCAUCGCGGUGCGCGCAUCCCCCCGGGGGUGCAGGGCGCACCGGCGCGGUUGAGGUUGCCCGUGGCGCUGGACAGCUUGCUGACCAGGGUUCAUUUUAGCACGCUUCGGCGUGUUAGCGGCGGCCGCUGCGCCGGUGCAAGCCACUAGCGCGCCCAUGACGGUUGACGAAAUGGUUCUCAACGACCCGUCUUGAAACACGGACCAAGGAGUCUAACAUGUCUGCGAGUGUUUGGGUGGAAAACCCGAACGCGGAAUGAAAGUAACGAGGUGGGUUGCGUACCCACCCGCUGGUAGGAACCGGGCGGCUGCGGCUGCCCGGCGCACUAUCGACCGACCUGUUGCCCUCCGUGGCGGUAGGUUUGAGUUGGAGCAGUCCUGUUAGGACCCGAAAGAUGGUGAACUAUGCCUGAGCAGGAUGAAGCCAGAGGAAACUCUGGUGGAGGUCCGUAGCGGUUCUGACGUGCAAAUCGAUCGUCGGACUUGGGUAUAGGGGCGAAAGACUAAUCGAACCAUCUAGUAGCUGGUUCCUGC
rnacentral:misc_RNA from 1 species